rnacentral:rRNA from 1 species
UUGACCUCAAAUCAGGUAGGACUACCCGCUGAACUUAAGCAUAUCAAUAAGCGGAGGAAAAGAANGUAACAAGGAUUCCCCUAGUAACUGCGAGUGAAGCGGGAAAAGCUCAAAUUUUGAAUCUGGCGGUCUUUUCGGCCGUCCGAGUUGUAAUCUAGAGAAGCGUCUUCCGCGCUGGACCGUGUAUAAGUUUCCUGGAACGGAACGUCGUAGAGGGUGA